AAAGAUAUGCUGUACAAUGUGCUAGCAACAAGGGUAUUUUUUUAGGGGCUCUGAAACAUUUGUAUUAUGCACGUGGUAAAGCUGGUUUCACUAUUUCUUAAUGG